rnacentral:tRNA from 1 species
GCGCAGCAACUCCCCCCAAAGAGACUUAAAAUCUCUCGGCCUUUGGUCAUGCGGGUUCGAUCCCCGCCGUCCGCACCA